GAUGAACGCUGGCGGCGGGCCUAACACAUGCAAGUCGAGCGAAUGGAGGAGAAUUGCUCCUGUCUUAAGCUAGCGGCGGGUGGGUGAGUAAUACGUAGAUACCCGAUCUAUGAGGCUGACGUAAGGUCGGGGAACCUGAUCCCGCAUCGGUCAUUAGGGUGAACGGGAGGGUUCAUCAGACCUCGCCGUAUCUGAUGACACUAAGUCGGGGUACCUAGCUGGAUUAGCUAGUUGGUACGGUAAAGGCUUACCAAGGCGACGAUCCGUAGCUGAUCUGAGAGGAUGAUCGGUCACACUGGAACUGAGACACGGUCCAGACUCCUACGGGAGGCAGCAGUGGGGAAUAUUGGACAAUGGGCGAAAGCCUGAUCCAGCCAUGCCGCGUGUGUGAAGAAGGUCUUCGGAUUGUAAAGCACUUUAAGUUGGGAGGAACGGCUGUAAGUGAAUACCUUGCUGUCUUGACGUUACCAACAGAAUAAGCACCGGCUAACUUCGUG
rnacentral:rRNA from 1 species